GAUGAACGCUGGCGGCGUGCCUAAUACAUGCCAGUCGAGCGAACAGACGAGGAGCUUGCUCCUCUGACGUUAGCGGCGGACGGGUGAGUAACACGUGGAUAACCUACCUAUAAGACUGGGAUAACUUCGGGAAACCGGAGCUAAUACCGGAUAAUAUAUUGAACCGCAUGGUUCAAUAGUGAAAGACGGUUUUGCUGUCACUUAUAGAUGGAUCCGCGCCGCAUUAGCUAGUUGGUAAGGUAACGGCUUACCAAGGCGACGAUGCGUAGCCGACCUGAGAGGGUGAUCGGCCACACUGGAACUGAGACACGGUCCAGACUCCUACGGGAGGCAGCAGUAGGGAAUCUUCCGCAAUGGGCGAAAGCCUGACGGAGCAACGCCGCGUGAGUGAUGAAGGUCUUCGGAUCGUAGAACUCUGUUAUUAGGGAAGAACAAAUGUGUAAGUAACUAUGCACGUCUUGACGGUACCUAAUCAGAAAGCCACGGCUAACUACGUG
rnacentral:rRNA from 1 species